rnacentral:rRNA from 1 species
CUACGGGAGGCAGCAGUGAGGAAUAUUGGACAAUGGGUGCAAGCCUGAUCCAGCCAUGCCGCGUGCAGGACGAAGGCGCUAUGCGUUGUAAACUGCUUUUGAACUGGAGAAAACCCCGUUACGAGUAGCGGGUUGAUAGUACAGUAAGAAUAAGCAUCGGCUAACUCCGUGCCAGCAGCCGCGGUAAUACGGAGGAUGCAAGCGUUAUCCGGAUUUAUUAGGUUUAAAGGGUGCGUAGGCGGUUUGCUAAGUCAGUGGUGAAAUACCGACGCUCAACGUCGGGGCUGCCAUAGAAACUGGUGAACUUGAAUCAAGAUGUAGUAUUCGGAAUGUGUGGUGUAGCGGUGAAAUGCAUAGAUAUCACACAGAACACCGAUUGCGAAGGCAGGAUACUAAACUUUGAUUGACGCUGAGGCACGAAAGCGUGGGGAUCAAACAGGAUUAGAUACCCCUGUAGUCU